AAGUCGUAACAAGGUUUCCGUAGGUGAACCUGCGGAAGGAUCCGUAACAAAAUGCAAUCCUUGCAUUAACCAAACCGUGCUCUUAUUUUAAACUUUACGAUUGAGGUGUCCGUUCGAAAAUUUGGUUUUCUACAAAAUUACCCAAAUGACUAACAUGUGUCGAUGGAUGAAGAGUUGGGUGCCUCUUUCUCGACAUCCUGAGCAUGGAAGUCAAUGUGGUAGCGAGUUCACCUCAGUAAGGCACACGAACCAUUUAAACAUUAAGAUGAAUUUUGGAACUGAUCUAGGUUCUAGGUUAUAAAGGCGAAAGCCCUAUACCAUGAGCCGCUCUAAGAUUGUUAUUAACAAUCAGUACAACACUAGCCGACGGAGACCUUGGCUCCCAUAACGAUGAAGAACGCAGC
rnacentral:misc_RNA from 1 species